rnacentral:rRNA from 1 species
ACCUCCCAUCCGUGUCUAUCUGUACCCUGUUGCUUCGGCGUGGCCACGGCCCGCCGGAGACUAACAUUUGAACGCUGUCUGAAGUUUGCAGUCUGAGUUUUUAGUUAAACAAUCGUUAAAACUUUCAACAACGGAUCUCUUGGUUCCGGCAUCGAUGAAGAACGCAGCGAAAUGCGAUAAUUAAUGUGAAUUGCAGAAUUCAGUGAAUCAUCGAGUCUUUGAACGCACAUUGCGCCCCCUGGUAUUCCGGGGGGCAUGCCUGUCCGAGCGUCAUUGCUGCCCUCAAGCACGGCUUGUGUGUUGGGCUUCCGUCCCUGGCAACGGGGACGGGCCCAAAAGGCAGUGGCGGCACCAUGUCUGGUCCUCGAGCGUAUGGGGCUUUGUCACCCGCUCCCGUAGGUCCAGCUGGCAGCUAGCCUCGCAACCAAUCUUUUUAACCAGGUUGACCUCGGAUCAGGUAGGGAUACCCGCUGAACUUAAGCAUAUCA